CCUACGGGUGGCAGCAGUGAGGAAUAUUGGUCAAUGGGCGCGAGCCUGAACCAGCCAAGUAGCGUGAAGGAUGACUGCCCUACGGGUUGUAAACUUCUUUUAUAAAGGAAUAAAGUGAGGCACGUGUGCCUUUUUGUAUGUACGUUAUGAAUAAGGAUCGGCUAACGCCUUGCCAGCAGCCGCGGUAAUACGGAGGAUCCGAGCGUUAUCCGGAUUGAUUGGGUUUACAGGGAGCGUAGAUGGGUUGUUAAGUCCGUUGUGAAAGUUUGCGGCUCAACCGUAAAAUUGCAAUGGAUACUGGCAGUCUUGCGUACAGUUGAGGUAGGCGGAAUUCGUGGUGUCGCGG
rnacentral:rRNA from 1 species